GACCGCUUAGCUCAGUGGUAGAGCGUGUGAUUCCAGUGACCGGAUUGAACAUUAAAUCCAGGUUGGCGUCCACAAGGUCGUCCGUUCAAUCCGGGCAGUGGUCA